GACGAACGCUGGCGGCGUGCUUAACACAUGCAAGUCGAACGGAAAGGCCCUGCCUUUGUGGGGUGCUCGAGUGGCGAACGGGUGAGUAACACGUGAGUAACCUGCCCUUGCCUUUGGGAUAACUUCAGGAAACUGGGGCUAAUACCGGCUAGGAGCUCCUGCUGCAUGGUGGGGGUUGGAAAGUUUCGGCGGUUGGGGAUGGACUCGCGGCUUAUCAGCUUGUUGGUGGGGUAGUGGCUUACCAAGGCUUUGACGGGUAGCCGGCCUGAGAGGGUGACCGGCCACAUUGGGACUGAGAUGCGGCCCAGACUCCUACGGGAGGCAGCAGUGGGGAAUAUUGCACAAUGGGCGGAAGCCUGAUGCAGCAACGCCGCGUGCGGGAUGACGGCCUUCGGGUUGUAAACCGCUUUCGCCUGUGACGAAGCGUGAGUGACGGUAAUGGGUAAAGAAGCACCGGCUAACUACGUG
rnacentral:rRNA from 1 species